GCGCCCGUAGCUCAGCUGGAUAGAGCGUCGGUCUACGGAACCGAAGGUCUCAGGUUCGAAUCCUGACGGGCGCG
rnacentral:tRNA from 2 species